rnacentral:lncRNA from 1 species
UUUUAUUUUUUCGUCUUUGUGCUUUCCACUGGGGAAUAAAGGCAUCCUACAAACUUUUAUGUCAGUUCUUUUCUGCAUGCCAUCCACAAUGAAACCACAGUAGUUGCCCUUUAAGAGCGUAAAUACUUUUCUGACUUCCCUUGUUACACUAAAUUUACAAAUCCUUAAUGUAACAAAUAUCCUUUCCUUUUUAACUGUUCAUCCUCUUCCCUGAUGGGCUUAUUUUGGGACCUUUAUGUUUCUUAUGAGAAUAAUGUGAUGAAUGAACAUAUAAUGUAAAUCCUUCAUAAAGCUAGACAAAUGCACCCAGCAAAGCCCAGGAAUCCUAAACACACUGCAAACACUGUUCCCAUUACAAAAGCAGUCAGGAAUGAAAACUUGAACAAUUAUAAUCCUAACUCAAUUAAAUAUAGCAGAUAAGCAAACACUUAUUUUCCCCAUUAAGAAUACACACAAAAGCUUUCCAGCAGUAUUUUUCAGUUCCUACCCAGAUCACCCUGAUGUUGCAUAUAAAAUCAGACACAUCUGAACUCCUUCAGUAGCUAAAUUCACGCUCCUAGGAUGAACAGAUUAAAAUCUUUUAACGCUAGGACUUUGGGCCCAGUCAAGUGGGCAUGAUCCUCCAACAUUGGAAAUUAAUGUCUUUCACUCAAAUAUGUCACAGGCUAGUGACCAUUUGGUCUCUUUCGUGCUUGUAAAUUGGAGAAGAGGUCCAUUUAAAUCAAAAAGCAUUGCCAGUUGAGAAACAUUGAUUUAGUUAUUCAGUUAUUCAAAUCAAACUAGUGUGGUGAUUCUCUGUAUGUAGUGUGUGCUGCAACACAGACUUUCCUUAAAGAGUUUCAGUUCAGAAAUGAAGAAAGCUAACUUUCUUUAAAUAUUUAGGACCAUAUUUUCCAGAAGGAUUUUUAACAGCAUCUCCAAAAUUUAACACUAUCUUUGCAACAUUAGUAAGUUAGGAAGCUAUCAUGCACUUGCAUAUACAAGUAUACUUGAAUACGUUUUGCAAGAGCACAUAUUUCUGCUGUUAAAUUUCGUGAAUGCUUGUUUCCACCCACCAGCUAGUCCAUAAAGGAGGGAUGCACUAUUUCUUGUUCAAAUCAGCACUCUGAAAUCACCAGAAAAAGGGUCAUGCUUGAGUACUAUGGUAAAUAACCUAUACUAAAAAUCAGUAGCUACUUUUCAGCAAGAAAACGCUAUCUUCUAUUUUGUUUUGAAUCUGUAUAAGUAAAAAAAAAAAAAAAAAA